UUUCGCAAUGCCCGAAAGGGUGACGAAGCGACGCCGCGUGUGGGAAGAAGGCCUUCGGGUUGUAAACCACUGUCGGGAGUUAGGAAAUGCAGGUGCGUUAAUAGCGCACUUGCUUGACUAAGGCUCCAGAGGAAGCCACGGCUAACUCUGUGCCAGCAGCCGCGGUAAUACAGAGGCGGCAAGCGUUGUUCGGAAUUAUUGGGCGUAAAGGGCACGUAGGCGGCCUUGCAAGUCAGUUGUGAAAGCCUUCCGCUUAACGGAAGAACGGCAUCUGAUACUACAGGGCUUGAGUACGGGAGGGGAGAGCGGAACUUCUGGUGGAGCGGUGAAAUGCGUAGAUAUCAGAAGGAACGCCGGCGGCGAAAGCGACUCUCUGGUCCGAAACUGACGCUGAGUGUGCGAAAGCUAGGGGAGCAAACGGGAUUAGAUACCCCGGUAGUCCUAGCCGUAAACGAUGGGCACUAAGUAGAGGGGUUUU
rnacentral:rRNA from 1 species